UACGUAGGGGGCGAGCGUUGUCCGGAAUUAUUGGGCGUAAAGGGCGCGCAGGCGGUUUCUUAAGUCUGAUGUGAAAUCUCGUGGCUUAACCACGAGCGGUCGUUGGAAACUGGGAAACUUGAGUACAGAAGAGGAGAGUGGAAUUCCACGUGUAGCGGUGAAAUGCGUAGAGAUGUGGAGGAACACCAGUGGCGAAGGCGGCUCUCUGGUCUGUAACUGACGCUGAGGUGCGAAAGCGUGGGGAGCAAACAGG
rnacentral:rRNA from 1 species